rnacentral:rRNA from 1 species
CGCGGCCUAUCAGCUAGUUGGUGAGGUAACGGCCCACCAAGGCGAUGAUCGGUAGCCGGCCUGAGAGGGCGCACGGCCACACUGGCACUGACACACGGGCCAGACUCCUACGGGAGGCAGCAGUGGGGAAUUUUGCACAAUGCCCGAAAGGGUGAUGCAGCAACGCCGCGUGAGGGAUGAAGGCCUUCGGGUCGUAAACCUCUUUCGAUCGGGAAAAACGGCCCUGUGAAGAGCGGGGUCUGAUGGUACCGGAUGAAGAAGCCCCGGCCAACUACGUGCCAGCAGCCGCGGUAAUACGUAGGGGGCGAGCGUUGUUCGGAAUUACUGGGCGUAAAGGGCGUGCAGGCGGUGUGGUAAGUUGGGCGUGAAAUCCCCGGGCUUAACCCGGGGGGGCCGUCCAGGACUGCCAUGCUAGGGUGCGGGAGAGGGCAGUGGAAUUCCCGGUGUAGCGGUGAAAUGCGUAGAUAUCUGCAGGAACACCCGUGGCGAAAGCGGCGAGCUGGAUCACUACUGACGCUGAGGAACGAAAGCUAGGGGAGCAAACAGGAUUAGAUACCCUGGUAGUCCUAGCCCUAAACGAUCAGAACUUGGGGUGCCGCCCGUUCGGGCGUCGUCCCGGAGCUAACGCGUUAAGUCCUGCACCUGGGGAGUACGGUCGCAAGACUGA